rnacentral:rRNA from 1 species
AGGUUGGCUCAGAAGCAGCCAUCCUUUAAAGAGUGCGUAACAGCUCACUAGUCGAGUGACCCUGCGCCGAAAAUGUACCGGGGCUAAGCCUGAUACCGAAACUGCGGAUUGUAGGAAACUAUAGUGGUAGGGGAGCGUUGUAUACGAGCAGAAGCCGUACCGUGAGGAGCGGUGGAUUGUAUAGAAGUGAGAAUGCCGGUGUGAGUAGCGAGAUGUAGGUGAGAAUCCUACACACCGAAAGCCCAAGGAUUCCAGGGGAAGGUUCGUCCGCCCUGGGUAAGUCGGGACCUAACGCGAGGCCGAAAGGCGUAGUGGAUGGAAAGCAGGCGAAAGAUUCCUGCACCCGUAUAUGGAGCGAAGGAGUGACGGAGACGGAUAGUGUGACCCUCUUAAUGGAUUGAGGGCGAAGCGAAGCGGCUGGUUACCAGGCAAAUCCGGUAACCAAAAGGCUAGAGCGUGACAGGUAAGCGAAAUCUUAGGAAAGUAGCGAAGCACAUGAUGACGGCUUCCAGGAAAAGCUUCUGGCAAUGCAUAUGCGGCCCGUACCAAAACCGACACAGGUGGGCAGGGAGAGAAUCCCGAGGUGAGCGAGAGAACUGUUGCCAAGGAACUCGGCAAAAUGACUCCGUAAGUUAGCGAGAAGGAGUGCUUAAGCAAUUAAGCCGCAGUGAAGAGGCCCAAGCGACUGUUUAACUAAAACACAGCUCUCUGCGAAGUCGCAAGACGAAGUAUAGGGGGUGACACCUGCCCGGUGCUGGAAGGUUAAGAGGAUCUGUUAAGAGCGAUCUGAAGCAGUGAUCCGAAGCCCCAGUGAACGGCGGCCGUAACUAUAACGGUCCUAAGGUAGCGAAAUUCCUUGUCAGGUAAGUUCUGACCCGCACGAAAGGUGUAACGAUUUGGGCGCUGUCUCGGCAGCAGACUCGGUGAAAUCUUAGUACCUGUGAAAAUGCAGGUUACCCGCAACUAGACGGAAAGACCCCAUGGAGCUUUACUGCAGCCUGAUAUUGAAUUCUGGUCAUACAUGUACAGGAUAGGUGGGAGACAAAGAGACGUGCACGCCAGUGUACGAGGAGUCGACGUUGGGAUACCACUCUUGUGUGACCGGGGUUCUAACCUGGUAUCGAGAACAGGUACGGGGAGAGUGUCAGGUGGGCAGUUUGACUGGGGCGGUCGCCUCCCAAAGAGUAACGGAGGCGCCCAAAGGUACGCUCAGAUUGGAUGGAAACCAAUCGUCGAGUGCAAUUGCAGAAGCGUGCUUGACUGUGAGACAAACAAGUCGAACAGGGACGAAAGUCGGGAAUAGUGAUCCGGCGGUGCCGAAUGGAAGGGCCGUCGCUCAACGGAUAAAAGCUACCCUGGGGAUAACAGGCUGAUCUCCCCCAAGAGUUCACAUCGACGGGGAGGUUUGGCACCUCGAUGUCGGCUCAUCGCAUCCUGGAGCUGAAGUCGGUUCCAAGGGUUGGGCUGUUCGCCCAUUAAAGCGGUACGCGAGCUGGGUUCAGAACGUCGUGAGACAGUUCGGUCCCUAUCUGUUGUGGGCGAAGGAGAUCUGCGGAGAGCUGUCCUCAGUACGAGAGGACCGGGAUGGACCUACCGCUGGUGCACCGGUUGUUCCGCCAGGGGCAUAGCCGGGUAGCUAAGUAGGGAAAGGAUAAGCGCUGAAAGCAUCUAAGCACGAAGCCUACUCCAAGAUGAGAUCUCCCAUUCGCAAGAAGUAAGACCCCUUAAAGACGAUAAGGUAGAUAGGCCAGGGAUGGAAGUGCAGUGAUGUACGGAGUUGACUGGUACUAAUCGGUCGAGGACUUAAUCAG